AACGGUGAAAUGUGUAGAUAUCUGGAGGAACACCGGUGGCGAAAGCGGCUCACUGGGUCGUCUCUGACGCUGAGGUGCGAAAGCUAGGGUAGCAAACGGGAUUAGAUACCCCGGUAGUCCUAGCCGUAAACGAUGGGCACUAGGUAGUGGAUGCUCCUAUGACGUUCACUGCCGUAGCAAAUGUGUUAAGUGCCCCGCCUGGGGAGUACGCUCGCAAGGGUAAAACUCAAAGGAAUUGACGGGGGAUCACACAAGCGGUGGAGCAUGUGGUUUAAUUCGAAGCAACGCGAAGAACCUUACCUGGUCUUGACAUGUACGGAUUAGCUCUGUGAAAGCAGAGUGACAGCUCUUCGGAGUCGGAACGUAUACAGGUGUUGCAUGGCUGUCGUCAGCUCGUGUCGUGAGAUGUUGGGUUAAGUCCCGUAACGAGCGAAACCCUUGUCGUUAGUUGCCAGCGGGUAAUGCCGGGGACUCUAGCGAGACUGCCGUUGUUAAAACGGAGGAAGGUGGGGACGACGUCAAGUCAUCAUGGCCCUUAUGACCAGGGCGACACACGUGCUACAAUGGUCUAUACAAAGGGUUCCGAAGCCGCGAGGUCAAGGCAAUCCCAUAAAGUAGGCCCCAGUUCGGAUUGCAGGCUGCAAUUCGCCUGCAUGAAGCCGGAAUCGCUAGUAAUCGCGUAUCAGCCAUGACGCGGUGAAUAUGUUCCUGAUCCUUGUACACACCGCCCGUCAAGCCACGGAAGCGGGGAGCGCUCGAAGUCGUUAUGUCCAACCGUAAGGAGGACGACGCCGAAAGCGAGCUCCGUGACUGGGACUAAGUCGUAACAAGGUAGCCA
rnacentral:rRNA from 1 species